UACGAAGGGGGCUAGCGUUGCUCGGAAUCACUGGGCGUAAAGCGCACGUAGGCGGCUUGUUAAGUCAGGGGUGAAAUCCUGGAGCUCAACUCCAGAACUGCCUUUGAUACUGGAGAUCUUGAGUCGGGAGAGGUGAGUGGAACUGCGAGUGUAGAGGUGAAAUUCGUAGAUAUUCGCAAGAACACCAGUGGCGAAGGCGGCUCACUGGCCCGGACUGACGCUGAGGUGAAGAACGGAGGGCAAACAGGG
rnacentral:rRNA from 1 species